rnacentral:rRNA from 1 species
GAUGAACGCUAGCGGCAGGCUUAAUACAUGCAAGUCGAGGGGUAGCAAGAUUGUAGCAAUACAAUUGUUGACGACCGGCAAACGGGUGCGGAACACGUACACAACCUUCCUACAAGUGGGGAAUAGCCCAGAGAAAUUCGGAUUAAUACCCCGUAACAUAGCGAUGUGGCAUCACAUUGCUAUUAUAGCUUCGGCGCUUGUUGAUGGGUGUGCGGCUGAUGAGAUAGUCGGCGGGGUAACGGCCCACCAAGUCUACGAUCAGUAGCUGAUGUGAGAGCAUGAUCAGCCACACGGGCACUGAGACACGGGCCCGACUCCUACGGGAGGCAGCAGUAAGGAAUAUUGGACAAUGGACGCAAGUCUGAUCCAGCCAUGCCGCGUGAAGGAUUAAGGUCCUCUGAAUUGUAAACUUCUUUUAUAAGGGACGAAAAAAGGUCUUUCUAGAUCGUCUGACGGUACCUUAUGAAUAAGCACCGGCUAACUCCGUGCCAGCCGCCGCCGUAAAAC